UACAGAGGGGGCAAGCGUUGUUCGGAAUUACUGGGCGUAAAGCGCGCGUAGGCGGCCUGUUAAGUCGAAUGUGAAAUCCCCGGGCUCAACCCGGGAAUUGCGUCCGAUACUGGCAGGCUUGAAUCCGGGAGAGGGAUGCGGAAUUCCAGGUGUAGCGGUGAAAUGCGUAGAUAUCUGGAGGAACACCGGUGGCGAAGGCGGCAUCCUGGACCGGCAUUGACGCUGAGGCGCGAAAGCCAGGGGAGCAAACGGG
rnacentral:rRNA from 1 species